ACUCUGCUGUGAUACAAUUCGGUCGGUAGAGCAUGAGACUAUUAAUCUCUAAGUUGUGGGUUCGAGCACCACGUUGGGCA